GAUGAACGCUGGCGGCGUGCCUAAUACAUGCAAGUCGAGCGAACGGACGAGAAGCUUGCUCUUCUGAUGUUAGCGGCGGACGGGUGAGUAACACGUGGAUAAUAUCCCUAUAAGACUGUGAUAACUUCGGGAAACCGGACCCAACACCGCGUAAUUUUUUCAACAUCACGUUUUAACGGAGCAUUACGGUCUUGUCGACACUACUAGAUGGAUCCGUGCUCCAUCAGCAAGUUGGCAAGGUAACGGCUUACCAAGGCAACGAUGCAUAGCCGACAUCAGAGGGAGGACGGCCACACGGGAAGUGAGACACGGUCCAGACUCUUGAGGGAGGCAGCGGUAGGGAAUCUUACGCGAUGGAGGAAAGCCUGACAGAGCAACGCCGAGUGAGUGAUGAUGGUGUGAGGAUGGUAAAGCUCUGUAAUUAGGGAUGAACUAAUGUGCAGGUAACUGUGCAGAACUUGACGGUACCUAAUCAGAAAGCCACGGCUAACUACGUG
rnacentral:rRNA from 1 species